rnacentral:rRNA from 1 species
GACGAACGCUGGCGGCGUGCUUAACACAUGCAAGUCGAGCGGUAAGGCCCUUUCGGGGGUACACGAGCGGCGAACGGGUGAGUAACACGUGGGUGACCUGCCCUUAGCUCUGGGAUAAGCCUGGGAAACCGGGUCUAAUACUGGAUAUGACUCCAUGACGCAUGUUGUGGGGUGGAAAGCCUUGUGCGGCUGAGGAUGGGCCCGCGGCCUAUCAGCUUGUUGGUGGGGUGAUGGCCACCAAGGCGACGACGGGUAGCCGGCCUGAGAGGGCGACCGGCCACACUGGGACUGAGACACGGCCCAGACUCCUACGGGAGGCAGCAGUGGGGAAUCUUGCGCAAUGGGCGAAAGCCUGACGCAGCGACGCCGCGUGAGGGAUGACGGCC